GUGAAUCAUCGAAUUUUUGAACGCAAAUUGCACCUAUUGCUAUAGGCGUGACUGUUUGAGUGCACCAUUUAACAAAUAAUAUGCAGCGUUUUUUGUUGCACACGUUGAUGAGCUUCCCAAGAAUUGUAAAUUUUUGGUGGCGCAUAAUGAACAGCGUGAAGCUUUUUUUUCAGUUCGAGUGUAGAAAAAUCUUUUCUUGGGUUGUGAAAAGCGUAAUCUCGCAAUGGGUGUGGCCAUUUUUUAUUAUCCCUGCCCCACUGCCACUCUUUCUCACGAAAG
rnacentral:misc_RNA from 1 species